GCCCGCCCGCCGCCAGCGGGGCUUUAUAAGCGGGGAAAUGGCCCGAACGCCGCAGUCGGAGCAUCUGUGGGCGCGGUGGUGCGGGCUCUGUUCGGGCACGGAGCGGUAGCGAUGCCGGACCGAUUCCCCCCUCCACCCGCAUCUCCCCCCUCGACCAUCUCGGGAUCGUCCCCUCCGGGAGAUGUGAGCGCGGAUGAUGGUGGUGGGGUGAUGCGGCGGCUGGGAGGCGGCCCGCUGAGGUUUUGGUACCUGCCGUCGCUGAUGGGCAGAUGGAUGUGAUGGCUGUUGGAGUGUCCUUUGUACCUGGAAGAGAGAAGGCACAGUCAGCCUGACCGUGUGUGGGUUUGGGACUUUUUCCCCCCUUGGCCAAGCAAGGAGGAUUUACCUUGAGACUUCUUCUGUCUGCUGGGAUAUCGCACCUGGAGCCCUCAUGGACUGCCGUGGGUUUUGGAUGCACCCUUCUGCCUGUAGCUGGAAAUGCGUGCUGCUGCCAGGUGGCCACAGACACCUGCUCCUCUAAACCUGCUGGAUUAUUUCUUUUGGCAUCACUCAGCCAGCGUGGCAGCUUUUCCUCAGCUCGUGCAACUGCCUUUGGUGUUUGAGAUCACCUGACUUGCAGAUGUAGAGAGCUGCAGUUGCAGCCCAGCCUGCAGACACCUCUCCUUUUUGGGCUACUAUUUCUCAGUGUUGCAGCACUUUGGGAGAAGAUCCCGUCCAUACACAUGUGUGGGAAUGUCCUGCUGGUCUGAGGGCCAGCAGUGGAGGCUUGAGGUGCACCUGAGAGGAGAGCCGAUGCACUGCAGCAGGAGCAGCCACCAGGACCUCACCAUGGAUGGGAGGGAGGAAGGACAGAGGCAGCACAGUGCCCGGCACCCGCAGGGAUUGGGAUGCACCCGGGGUCAUGCCGUGCUCCUUCCCCAGCACUGACGUGGGAAUGGCCCCAGUGCAGCCUCCCACCAUCGCCACUGUGAUCCGGGGUCCUGAGCUGACCUCGCUCUCCUGCACCCACGCAGGGCAGGGAUGGCUGAAUUACUGCUCCCUGCUGCACUCUGCACAUCCUCCUCCUGGCCGGGUGGCCUCAGGAUCUGUGGGGCUGGAUGGCUGCGUGCUCUCGGGUCAAACAGUAGCUCCAUUUUUUCCCUUGUGAAGCACCAAGAGCUUGCCCGGUUCCAAGGAAGUGGCUGUGGAUUUUUGUUUUAUUUUAUUUCUUCUCUCCUCCGUUGUUCUUUCUGAAUCUUUUGGGGAGUUUUGGGCUCUUAUCGAGGAUGCCCAGACCUGCACUGGGUGCAGCCCAAUGCAGAGGGGCGAAUGCCUCUGGAGAAGCAACGGGAGCAGCACACCAAGAGCUGGCAACUGCAGUGCCUUGGGACUGAGACUGUCUGGGAGCUGUGUUCCUUCACAUUGCAUAGCUGCAUCCUCCCCAACACAUCUCAUAAGGGUGAGGUGGGAUUCUGGGGGGCACAAAGCCAAACCGCAGCGAGGGGGACGUCAAGAAGGGGAAAAAUGUCACCCUCAGAAACAAUUAAACUGCUUAAUAAAAUCCGUUGCCUCUCGGA